rnacentral:rRNA from 1 species
AGAGUUUGAUCAUGGCUCAGAACGUACGCUGGCGGCACGCCUAACACAUGCAAGUCGAACGAAGUAGCAAUACUUAGUGGCAGACGGGUGAGUAACAUGUAGGUAUCUGCCCUUUGGCCUGGAAUAACACGAGGAAACUUGUGCUAAUACCGGAUAAGUCUUUACGGAGAAAGCUUUAUGCACCAUUGGAUGAGCCUGCACUUGAUUAGUUUGUUGGUGGGGUAAUGGCCUACCAAGACUGUGAUCAAUAGCUGAUUUGAGAGGAUGAUCAGCCACAUUGGGACUGAGACACGGCCCAAACUCCUACGGGAGGCAGCAGUGGGGAAUCUUGCACAAUGGAGGAAACUCUGAUGCAGCGAUGCCGCGUGAGUGAAGAAGGCCCUUGGGUUGUAAAGCUCUUUCGUCGGGGAAGAAAAUGACUGUACCCGAAUAAGAAGGUCCGGCUAACUUCGUGCCAGCAGCCGCGGUAAUACGAAGGGACCGAGCGUAGUUCGGAAUUACUGGGCUUAAAGAGUUCGUAGGUGGUUGAAAAAGUUAGUGGUGAAAUCCCAGAGCUUAACUCUGGAACUGCCAUUAAAACUUUUCAGCUAGAGUAUGAUAGAGGAAAGCAGAAUUUCUAGUGUAGAGGUGAAAUUCGUAGAUAUUAGAAAGAAUACCAAUUGCGAAGGCAGCUUUCUGGAUCAUUACUGACACUGAGGAACGAAAGCAUGGGUAGCGAAGAGGAUUAGAUACCCUCGUAGUCCAUGCCGUAAACGAUGUGUGUUAGACGUUGGAAAUUUAUUUUCAGUGUCGCAGGGAAACCGAUAAACACACCGCCUGGGGAGUACGACCGCAAGGUUAAAACUCAAAUGAAUUGACGGGGACCCGCACAAGUAGUGGAGCAUGUGGUUUAAUUCGAAGAUACGCGCAGAACCUUACCAACACUUGACAUGUUCGUCGCGACUCUAAGAGAUUAGAGUUUUCGGUUCGGCCGGACGAAACACAGGUGCUGCAUGGCUGUCGUCAGCUCGUGUCGUGAGAUGUUGGGUUAAGUCCCGCAACGAGCGCAACCCUCACUUUUAGUUGCCAUCAUUUAGUUGGGCACUCUGAAAGAACUGCCAGUGAUAAGCUGGAGGAAGGUGGGGAUGACGUCAAGUCCUCAUGGCCCUUACGUGUUGGGCUACACACGUGCUACAAUGGUAUCUACAACAGGAAGCAAGACUGCGAAGUUAAGCAAAUCCCUAAAAGAUACCUCAGUUCGGAUUGCACUCUGCAACUCGAGUGCAUGAAGCUGGAAUUACUAGUAAUCGUGGAUCAGCGUGCCACGGUGAAUGCGUUCCCGGGUCUUGUACACACCGCCCGUCACACCAUGGGAGUUGGUUCUACCUUAAGGCAAGGUUUAAAACCCUUGACCACGGUAUAGUCAGCGACUGGGGUGAAGUCGUAACAAGGUAA